rnacentral:rRNA from 1 species
GGGCCUACGGGGGGCAGCAGUGAGGAAUAUUGGUCAAUGGCCGGAAGGCUGAACCAGCCAAGCCGCGUGAAGGACGAAGGUGCCAAGCAUUGUAAACUUCUUUUGUCAAGGGACAAAAUCAGGCUCGAGAGCCUGACCGAGGGUACUUGAAGAAAAAGCAUCGGCUAACUCCGUGCCAGCAGCCGCGGUAAUACGUAGGGGGCAAGCGUUAUCCGGAUUUACUGGGUGUAAAGGGAGCGUAGACGGAAUUGCAAGUCUGAUGUGAAAAUCCGGGGCCCAACCCCGGAACUGCAUUGGAGACUGUA